rnacentral:lncRNA from 1 species
UUUACUAAGUGUCUGUACAGGUACUCGGAGGUGCUUCCCAUUGAAGCUAUUCAAAUAAGGUUCGAAUUAUACCCUUAUUCAUUAUUGUAUAUUAUUGACGAUAGGCAAAAUUUAGGUCGAUUCAUAUAUUAUUGUUUUAUCAUAUUACUUGUGUAUAUUGCAUGUUUAUUAUACUUGUACAAUAUUUUAUCCUCCUCCUCAAUUUGAAAAAAAAUGAAUUCAAUCGGGACCCACAUUUGCGGAUUUCGAAGGAUGCCUAAUCCCUUCCCUUCGGAAUAACUUGAACCCCUUACUUAGAAUCUAAUGGUUUCGUAGAUCACUUAAUGGUUUCCUAGUUUUUUCCUAAAAUUAGGUGGCGACUCCUUUAAAAUUCGUUUAUUCUUAAAAUUCUCUUAAAAUUGAAUCAAUUGAUUAUUUUUUGAGUCACCGCGAUGUUUCGCCCUAUUUGAAUAGAGUAGGGAUGUAAACAGAAUGACGACUCUUCUGGGGAUAUAGAGGUUAUAACCAUUAUGAGUUCACCUUUUC